UACGGGGGGGGCAAGCGUUGUUCGGAAUUACUGGGCGUAAAGGGCGCGUAGGCGGUUCGCUAAGUUGAAUGUGAAAACUCUGGGCUUAACCCAGAGCCUGCAUUCAAUACUGGCGGGCUAGAGUUCUGGAGGGGAUAGCGGAAUUCCUGGUGUAGCGGUGAAAUGCGCAGAUAUCAGGAGGAACACCGGUGGCGAAGGCGGAUCUCUGGGCCAUUACUGACGCUGAGAAGCGAAAGCAUGGGGAGCGAACAGG
rnacentral:rRNA from 1 species